GAGGGAACUACACGCGCCAGGU
rnacentral:siRNA from 1 species